GGGAAUGUAGCUUAGUGGUAGAGUGCUUGCCUAGUAUGCAUGAAGUCCUGGGUUUUAUUCCUCAGUACCA
rnacentral:tRNA from 1 species